CCUACGGGUGGCAGCAGUGGGGGAUAUUGCACAAUGGGGGAAACCCUGAUGCAGCGACGCCGCGUGUGGGAAGACGGUCCUCUGGAUUGUAAACCACUGUCCCCAGGGACGAAGAUGACGGUACCUGGGGAGGAAGCUCCGGCUAACUACGUGACAGAAGCCGCGGUAAUACGUAGGGAGCAAGCGUUGUACGGAAUUACUGGGUGUAAAGGGGGCGUAGGCGGGAUGGCAAGUUGGGUGUUAAAUCUACCGGCUCAACUGGUAGUCGCACUCAAAACUGGUGUUCUUGAGUGAAGUAGAGGCAGGCGGAAUUCCUAGUGUAGCGGUGAAAUGCGUAGAUAUUACGAGGAACACCGGUGGCGAAGGCGGCCUGCUGGGCUUUUACUGACGCUGAGGCUCGAAAGUGUGGGGAGCAUACAGGAUUAGAUACCCGUGUAGUC
rnacentral:rRNA from 1 species